CUGCCACUGAAAAAGGAACCAUAGGUAUCCUGAACUAUUACAUUGAAUCAAAGCAUAAACAAUUACAUUGUGCAAAUAUUGAUUUAUUAAAACAGUGACUACCCACACCAUCAAAAUCUUGUUCUCCCACUACCUCUCUAAAUCACUCCUUCAGUUUUCCAUUCAGAGUAUCCACCUCAUCCGUACUCCAGCUUUCAGAAAAAGUCCUAUGGGACUCUGAUCCUCAUCUUGUCAUCUUCCUUUACAGUCUCUGGGCAGCAUAUGCACUAACAUGACUUCAAGUGCCAUCUCUAUUUCUCCAUGCUAUACCUGUCUCCAAACUGAAAUCUCAGCCUGCCUUUCUGACAGCUCCUCAUGGAUAUUGAGCCACCAGUUUAAACUCAGUGGGGCCAACACAAAAAAACUCUUAAUCUUUCCCUACACAAGCCUUUCUGCUUUCUCUGUCACCAUGGGCACCACCACCAUUCUCUCUGUCACUCAGGUCUGUAAUCUGGGCAUCAUCUUUGACCCAGCCCUUUCUCUAGGUCCUCACACCUAAGCUAUGUCUAAAUCUUGCAGAUUUUUCCUGCAUAACAUCUUUAGGCUCUUGUCUUUCCUCUCCAUACACAGCUAAACAUGUUAUCCAGUCCCUCCUCAUCUUGUGUCUUGGCUACAGCAGCCUUCUCCUUUCUGGCCUUGACAAGUGCCAUCUUGCCCCACUUAUCUAUUCAAAACACUGACACUAAGGUAAUUUUGCUGGUUCAUCGCUUCAGCUGUAUUACCUUCCUCUCCGAAUCCCUAAACUGGCUUCCCUUUCUCCAGUACAGUUAUGCCAUGUUAGGAAAUAAAACUCCAAAAGCCAGUUUUUAAAAUUUCAUAAAAAUAAUGUUGCCACUGAUAUCACAGGUAUUUUUUUUUUUUUUAAUAUAUGUGACUAGUUGGUUUAAUCGUAAAUCCAUCAAAACUGCCAAGAAACAAAGCAGCAAUUAGUUCAUAACGUUUGGCACAAAGCAGCGGCAAGUUUAUUUAACACAGAGAACAGGUAUUCAAUAAAAAAAAAAAAGCCACUGAAAUGAAGCUAUUUCCAAGAAAAAUUACAAAAAUGCCCAGGAUGAAACAUCAUUUUGAAUUACUAUUCCCCUGCUCACAAUUUUACACAGUCAAAUUCAGUUCUGUUUAAGCACUUAAUUUUUAAAGACAUCUUGCUUUUAUGCAGGGUUAUAACCAGAUUGUAACUUUUGUGGCUUGAGCAGUUUCAAAGAUGAGGUAAAAAACUCCCUUCUGCAUUCCCCUUGAAUGAGUGCAUCAAUAACCAUGGAUCAGGAAGAGCAAUUACUCAAUUUCCACUCAGACCAAGCUAACCAUUGGUGUGGAGACAUGGGGAAGAGUAGGCAUUGCCCCCUCACCCUAUAGACAGAAAAUGAACUGGGCAUAUAAUAUUUGCACAUGACAUGUAAAAAGGUUAGCGAGAAAAGGGAAUUUAACUUACCCUCAAAGCACUUCUACAGUUUUUGAAUGACGCACAUUAGCUGUAUUAAGUUUGUAUGACAUUAGCAUUCUGCUUUUAUUUUGCAGACCUUGAAAAGUUAAACACUAUAACAUAAUUAAAUUGAAAUGUAUGUACCAUGUAUAGAGUCUAUCAAUUUAAACAGAGUAUUAGUGAUUAGAACAGUAGAUGGGAAAAGAAAGUCUAAAUAUUCUACUCUGACAUCACACCCUCUUUAAGGCUAUGAAGUAUGAUAGCACAGAACCAAACACAAUUACUAGUGUUAGUCAAUUACCCUGCACAUCAAUUUGUUUAAAAAGAUGGAUUAUACUCUGGUCCUUGGCAUUUCGUAUAUUUACACUGCCACCCUGUGGAAGCUUUUUUAAAAAUUAAAGGCACCUUACUGCUGCUACAUAGAAAAAGUCAGGCUUUUUUCUAGUCUUUUGUCCUUCCAUAUAUACACAUCUCUCCCCCUCUCUGCUUUAUGGUCCAUAUAUACAGGAGGAUGGAUGCUUCCCUAAAUUGCAUUUAGCCACACAGCAUCCAACAUAGUAGUACAUCAGCUGCUUAAACCCUGGCCAGCGACUGUAUUCUAAUAUGAAAAUACAGACAACAGUACUUGAAUCUUAAUGCCACUUGUGCAGUUAAUACAGCAUUCAACAAUAAAGAAGACAAAAAACCCUCUGUCAAUGUACACAAGAUUGGAACUAGCUGGUAGAACAGAUUUUGUAAACAUGACUCAAAAAGGUGAUUUUUUGCUAUUAUAUAUGCUAUUUCUGAUGCUCUUCAAGCUGCCAUAGUGUCUACACACUCUCAGCUGAUGAGGUCACCACAUAUUUGCAGUUGAUGGGAUAGAAUGUAUUUUCUGGCUCUCCCUAGGCAAGGUUAAAUAUAAUUACAUCCAAGAGGAGUUAUCCUGGUGUCAGCAAUUACUACACUGGCAUGACUCUAUUCUAGAGAACACUUUAAGGUCAACACAAAAAAGAAAAAGAAAGAGGCCAUGUUUUUGUUUUGAAUUAAAUCUCAGCAGUUAGAUACUGUUUGAGAACAUAAGGAAAAUGCUUUACACAAAAAAAGAAUCCUUUAGGCUGCCACUCCAAUAUUUAUUUUAGAAAAUAUACAAUUCAACUUCACUAAGCAUUAGCCCCAAAUUUGCACAUAAAAACAUCACUCUCCAUAUUUUUUUAGCUGUAGUGGGGACUUCAGCAUAUCGUAAGUAAAAGUCAUA